rnacentral:rRNA from 1 species
UACAGAGGUCCCGAGCGUUGUUCGGAUUCAUUGGGCGUAAAGGGUGUGUAGGUGGCGCCGUAAGUCGGGUGUGAAAUUUCGGAGCUUAACUCCGAAACUGCAUUCGAUACUGCGGUGCUUGAGGACUGGAGAGGAGACUGGAAUUCAUGGUGUAGCAGUGAAAUGCGUAGAUAUCGUAAGGAAGACCAGUGGCGAAGGCGGGUCUCUGGACAGUUCCUGACGCUGAGGCACGAAGGUCAGGGGAGCAAACGGG